rnacentral:rRNA from 1 species
AGAGUUUGAUCCUGGCUCAGGAUGAACGCUAGCGGCAGGCUUAACACAUGCAAGUCGAGGGGUAACGAUGGUGCUUGCACCAGGCGACGACCGGCGCACGGGUGAGUAACGCGUAUGCAACCUACCUUUAACAGGGGGAUAGCCCGAAGAGAUUCGGAUUAAUACCCCAUAAAAAUGCUAUAAGGCAUCUUAUUGGCAUUUAAAGUUUCGACGGUUAAAGAUGGGCAUGCGUGACAUUAGUUAGUUGGUAAGGUAACGGCUUACCAAGACAGCGAUGUCUACGGGGUCUUAAAGGAUGGUCCCGCACACUGGUACUGAGACACGGACCAGACUCCUACGGGAGGCAGCAGUGAGGAAUAUUGGUCAAUGGGCGCAAGCCUGAACCAGCCAUGCCGCGUGGAGGAAGACGGCCCUACGGGUUGUAAACUUCUUUUCUAUAGGAAUAAUACCUCCAACGUGUUGGAGAUUGAAGGUACUAUAGGAAUAAGCAUCGGCUAACUCCGUGCCAGCAGCCGCGGUAAUACGGAGGAUGCGAGCGUUAUCCGGAUUUAUUAGGUUUAAAGGGUCCGUAGGCGGAUGAUUAAGUCAGUGGUGAAAUCCUGCAGCUUAACUGUAGAAUUGCCAUUGAAACUGGUUAUCUUGAGUAUAGUUGAGGUAGGCGGAAUGUGUAGUGUAGCGGUGAAAUGCAUAGAUAUUACACAGAACACCGAUUGCGAAGGCAGCUUACUAAACUAUUACUGACGCUGAUGGACGAAAGCGUGGGGAGCGAACAGGAUUAGAUACCCUGGUAGUCCACGCCGUAAACGAUGAUCACUCGUUGUUUGCAAUACAUCGUGAGCGACUGAGCGAAAGCAUUAAGUGAUCCACCUGGGGAGUACGUUGGCAACAAUGAAACUCAAAGGAAUUGACGGGGGCCCGCACAAGCGGAGGAACAUGUGGUUUAAUUCGAUGAUACGCGAGGAACCUUACCUGGGCUUAAAUGUAGAGUGCAUUAUUUGGAAACAGAUAUUUCCUUCGGGACUCUUUACAAGGUGCUGCAUGGUUGUCGUCAGCUCGUGCCGUGAGGUGUCGGGUUAAGUCCCAUAACGAGCGCAACCCCUAUUGUUAGUUGCUAACAGGUUAAGCUGAGGACUCUAACGAGACUGCCAUCGUAAGAUGUGAGGAAGGUGGGGAUGACGUCAAAUCAGCACGGCCCUUAUGUCC